GUCGAGCGAGCUUGCCUAGAUGAUUUUAGUGCUUGCACUAAAUGAAACUAGAUACAAGCGAGCGGCGGACGGGUGAGUAACACGUGGGUAACCUGCCCAAGAGACUGGGAUAACACCUGGAAACAGAUGCUAAUACCGGAUAACAACACUAGACGCAUGUCUAGAGUUUGAAAGAUGGUUCUGCUAUCACUCUUGGAUGGACCUGCGGUGCAUUAGCUAGUUGGUAAGGUAACGGCUUACCAAGGCAAUGAUGCAUAGCCGAGUUGAGAGACUGAUCGGCCACAUUGGGACUGAGACACGGCCCAAACUCCUACGGGAGGCAGCAGUAGGGAAUCUUCCACAAUGGACGAAAGUCUGAUGGAGCAACGCCGCGUGAGUGAAGAAGGGUUUCGGCUCGUAAAGCUCUGUUGGUAGUGAAGAAAGAUAGAGGUAGUAACUGGCCUUUAUUUGACGGUAAUUACUUAGAAAGUCACGGCUAACUACGUGCCAGCAGCCGCGGUAAUACGUAGGUGGCAAGCGUUGUCCGGAUUUAUUGGGCGUAAAGCGAGUGCAGGCGGUUCAAUAAGUCUGAUGUGAAAGCCUUCGGCUCAACCGGAGAAUUGCAUCAGAAACUGUUGAACUUGAGUGCAGAAGAGGAGAGUGGAACUCCAUGUGUAGCGGUGGAAUGCGUAGAUAUAUGGAAGAACACCAGUGGCGAAGGCGGCUCUCUGGUCUGCAACUGACGCUGAGGCUCGAAAGCAUGGGUAGCGAACAGGAUUAGAUACCCUGGUAGUC
rnacentral:rRNA from 1 species